AUUGAACGCUGGCGGCAGGCCUAACACAUGCAAGUAGAACGAGUGGCGGACGGGUGAGUAAUGUCUGGGAAACUGCAUGAUGGAGGGGGAUAACUACUGGAAACGGUAGCUAAUACCGCAUACCAUCGGAUGUGCCCAGAUGGGUUUAGCUAGGAGGUGGGGGAAAGGCUCACCUAGGCGACGAUCCCUAGCUGGUCGGAGAGGAUGACCAGCCACACUGGAACUGGGAACCGGUCCAGACUCCUACGGGAGGCAGCAGUGGGGAAUAUUGCACAAUGGGGGCAAGCCUGAUGCAGCCAUGCCGCGUGUAUGAAGAAGGCUUUCGGGUUGUAAAGUACUUUCAGCGGGGAGGCGUUACCCGCAGAGGAAGCACCGGCUAACUCCGUGCCAGCAGCCGCGGUAAUUC
rnacentral:rRNA from 1 species